rnacentral:rRNA from 1 species
GCAUAUAACUAAGCGGAGGAAAAGAAACUAACCAGGAUUCCCUCAGUAACGGCGAGUGAAGCGGGAACAGCUCACCAUGAGAAUCUGAAAGGUUUUGCCUUUCCGAGUUGUAGUCUCUAGAAGCGCAGCCAGCAGACGGAGAGGGUUAAGUCCCUUGGAACAGGGCGCCUGAGAGGGUGACAGUCCCGUUCAUACUUUCUCCAUUCUGCGUACGGCGUGCUCUCAGUGAGUCGAGUUGCUUGGGAUUGCAGCUCAAAGUGGGUGGUAAAU